GUGGGGAAUCUUGCGCAAUGGGCGAAAGCCUGACGCAGCCAUGCCGCGUGAAUGAUGAAGGUCUUAGGAUUGUAAAAUUCUUUCACCGGGGACGAUAAUGACGGUACCCGGAGAAGAAGCUCCGUCUAACUUCGUGCCAGCAGCCGCGGUAAUACGAAGGGGGCUAGCGUUGCUCGGAAUUACUGGGCGUAAAGGGCGCGUAGGCGGACAGCUUAGUCAGAGGUGAAAGCCCAGGGCUCAACCUUGGAAUUGCCUUUGAUACUGGCUGUCUUGAGUUUGGGAGAGGUGAGUGGAACUCCGAGUGUAGAGGUGAAAUUCGUAGAUAUUCGGAAGGACACCAGUGGCGAAGGCGACUCACUGGCCCAAUACUGACGCUGAGGAGCGAAAGCGUGGGGAGCAAACAGGAUUAGAAACCCGAGUAGUCC
rnacentral:rRNA from 1 species